GAUGAACGCUGGCGGCGUGCCUAAUACAUGCAAGUCGAGCGAACAGACGAGGAGCUUGCUCCUCUGACGUUAGCGGCGGACGGGUGAGUAACACGUGGAUAACCUACCUAUAAGACUGGGAUAACUUCGGGAAACCGGAGCUAAUACCGGAUAAUAUAUUGAACCGCAUGGUUCAAUAGUGAAAGACGGUUUUGCUGUCACUUAUAGAUGGAUCCGCGCCGCAUUAGCUAGUUGGUAAGGUAACGGCUUACCAAGGCAACGAUGCGUAGCCGACCUGAGAGGGUGAUCGGCAACACUGGAACUGAGACACGGCCCAGACUCCUACGGGAGGCAGCAGUAGGGAAUCUUCCGCAAUGGGCGAAAGCCUGACGGAGCAACGCCGCGUGAGUGAUGAAGGUCUUCGGAUCGUAAAACUCUGUUAUUAGGGAAGAACAAAUGUGUAAGUAACGAUGCACGUCUUGACGGUACCUAAUCAGAAAGCCACGGCUAACUACGU
rnacentral:rRNA from 1 species